AAUCAUCAAAUUAAGAAGGAAAUUGAAGGUCAAUCGAAUGCAUGUGAUCAAUUCCUUAGUCAUCUAAGGGUUUCCCAUCAUGGGGAUAGAUAGCAUGUCUACGGGCUCAAGCACGGAGGCUAAUGGGUCAAAAGAAAGCAUGGAACCUAUGCUUGAACUUGGACGCUCAAGGUAACACAAGUCAUGAGGAUCAUCAAGGAAUAGAGAUCGAGGA